GACGUAGGGUGCGAGCGUUGUCCGGAAUUAUUGGGCGUAAAGAGCUCGUAGGCGGUUUGUUGCGUCGGCUGUGAAAACUCGGGGCUUAACUCUGAGCUUGCAGUCGAUACGGGCAGACUUGAGUUCGGCAGGGGAGACUGGAAUUCCUGGUGUAGCGGUGAAAUGCGCAGAUAUCAGGAGGAACACCGGUGGCGAAGGCGGGUCUCUGGGCCGAUACUGACGCUGAGGAGCGAAAGCGUGGGGAGCGAACAGG
rnacentral:rRNA from 1 species